rnacentral:rRNA from 1 species
AUCUACAGCCAUACCUCCUUGAAUGCACCCGAUCCCCUCUGGUCUCAGAAGCCAAGCACGUCAGGUCUAAUUAGUAGGGAGAGAAGGAUAGAACAACAGACACUGGAUAUG